rnacentral:rRNA from 1 species
UACGGGGGGGGCAAGCGUUGUUCGGAAUUACUGGGCGUAAAGGGCUCGUAGGCGGCCAACUAAGUCAGACGUGAAAUCCCCAGGCUCAACCUGGGAACUGCGUCUGAUACUGGUUGGCUUGAAUCCGGGAGAGGGAUGCAGAAUUCCAGGUGUAGCGGUGAAAUGCGUAGAUAUCUGGAGGAAUACCGGUGGCGAAGGCGGCAUCCUGGACCGAGAUUGACGCUGAGGAGCGAAAGCUAGGGGAGCAAACGGG